rnacentral:rRNA from 1 species
CUCAAAUUUGAAAUCUCUGGGAUUCCAUCUCAGCGAAUUGUAGUUUAUAGAGGUAUUUUCGGCGGCGCUCCGGGUCCAAGUUCCUUGGAAAAGGAUGUCAAAGAGGGUGAGAACCCCGUGUCUGGCCCGUUCUCCGCGCCGCCAUACGAUAUACUUUCUACGAGUCGGGUUGUUUGGGAAUGCAGCCCAAAAUGGGUGGUAAAUGCCAUCUAAGGCUAAAUAUUGGGGAGAGACCGAUAGCGAACAAGUACAGUGAUGGAAAGAUGAAAAGAACUUUGAAAAGAGAGUUAAACAGUACGUGAAAUUGCCAAAAGGGAAGGGUAGGAGGUCAGAGAUGCGUCGCAGGAUUCAGCCUUGCUUUUGCUUGGUGUUUUUCCUGCGUUGCAGGCCAACGUCGGUUUUGGGCACUGGAGAAGGGUAGGAGGAACGUGGCACCUCUCGGGGUGUGUUAUAGCCUCCUACUGGAUACAGCGACCGAGACCGAGGAACGCAGCGUACUCGUAAGAGCGGGCCUUUUGGCACCUUUACGCUUAGGGCGUUGGCAUAAUGGCCCUCUACCACCCGUCUU